ACCUCUAGCAUUUCCAGUAUUAGAGGCACUGCCUGCCCAGUGACAUUCGUUAAACGGCCGCGGUAUCCUGACCGUGCAAAGGUAGCAUAAUCACUUGUUCUCUAAAUAAGGACUCGUAUGAAUGGCCACACGAGGGUUUUACUGUCUCUUACUUCCAAUCCGUGAAAUUGACCUUCCCGUGAAGAGGCGGGAAUAUAAAAAUAAGACGAGAAGACCCUAUGGAGCUUUAAUUAAUUAAUCCAAAGAGACUAAUUUAUACCGACAGGGAUAACAAACCUCUAAAUGGAUUAACAAUUUAGGUUGGGGUGACCUCGGAGUACAAAAUAACCUCCGAAUGAUUUAAAUCAAGACUUACUAGUCAAAAGUACUACAUCACUUAUUGAUCCAAAAACAUUUGAUCAACGGAACAAGUUACCCUAGGGAUAACAGCGCAAUCCUAUUCUAGAGUCCAUAUCGACAAUAGGGUUUACGACCUCGAUGUUGGAUCAGGACAUCCCGAUGGUGCAGCAGCUAUCAAA
rnacentral:rRNA from 1 species